GUAUGGUGUAAGAUCGCUUUCAAAAAGAUGUAUGCACAACUUUAAACAUUUAUAAUCGUAUUUUUAAAUAUUUGUGCGUAAAUUAACUUAGGCACGCAAAAUUAAGUUUUCAUACACGUGAGUCAAUACAAUUACAUUUGUGUUUUUAUGUAAGUGUGAUUCUAGAAGCUAUGACUGUAAACAUUCACGAGUACAACUCUGAUUUCUACGACUACGAAUUCUUCAUUAUGAACACAAAUUCAAGUUUGUGGGGACGAGUAAAGAACAGUUGAAAUGACGUCACUGCCGGCACAGGGCAGGUAAUCGAACCUUGAUUCCAUCUAAAGCGCAUGCGUCAAAGGUGAAAGAUGGCUAACAACAGACCUGAGGCUGCUAGCCCAGGCUCAGCAUCACAGGUCUUUUCCUGGAUUUUUCCGAAAGGAGGCAAGAGGCAAGAAGCGUUUUGCACCAUAUACACCAACACAACCUGGGAAGAGCUUUUUGGUGAACUUUUUUCUUCUUGAAAAGCAACGUGAAAAAACACCAAAUGGAGAAGAGGAACUGCAGCUUAUACUGGCUGGCCUUGGAAAACGUUCAUUAACCCUUAAUGAAAACAUCACACAUUCAGAGUUUUCAGAUUUGCUUUUGAGCACAUAUCCAAGACUGGCAAAUAUCUGUGGAGGCUGGUUGCUGCACAAGUCCACAGGUGGGGGUGGGCAGCGGAGAUUGGCUGUUAUCCCUCCAGAUUUAAAUGGAUACACUGGCCAGCAGCUAAAAGCAGUGAGCGGGAAUGGAAAAUAUACAAUGUACAUUGCUCCUUUACAAGAAGAACUGGAUACAAUUCCUUUACCAACAGAAGCAAAGGAAUUUGAGAAGAUGCCCAAAGCCCAGUGUACAACCUGCAAAAAAAUGGUUCCGCUUCAGAUUCUUCCAGGACACAUAAAGGAAUGCAAGAAACAACUUGUAGAUUUGUGUGAUUCUGCUGAAGAAGAAAGCUGCAAGGAAGAACAUGAUGA